rnacentral:rRNA from 1 species
AGUGAACGCUGGCGGUAGGCCUAACACAUGCAAGUCGAACGGCAGCACAGUAAGAGCUUGCUCUUACGGGUGGCGAGUGGCGGACGGGUGAGGAAUACAUCGGAAUCUACUUUUUCGUGGGGGAUAACGUAGGGAAACUUACGCUAAUACCGCAUACGACCUACGGGUGAAAGCAGGGGAUCUUCGGACCUUGCGCGAUUGAAUGAGCCGAUGUCGGAUUAGCUAGUUGGCGGGGUAAAGGCCCACCAAGGCGACGAUCCGUAGCUGGUCUGAGAGGAUGAUCAGCCACACUGGAACUGAGACACGGUCCAGACUCCUACGGGAGGCAGCAGUGGGGAAUAUUGGACAAUGGGCGCAAGCCUGAUCCAGCCAUACCGCGUGGGUGAAGAAGGCCUUCGGGAUGUAAAGCCCUUUUGUUGGGAAAGAAAAGCAGCAGGUUAAUACCCCGCUGUUCUGACGGUACCCAAAGAAUAAGCACCGGCUAACUUCGU